rnacentral:rRNA from 1 species
UACAGAGGGUGCAAGCGUUAAUCGGAAUUACUGGGCGUAAAGGGCGCGUAGGCGGAUAUUUAAGUUAGAUGUGAAAUCCCUGGGCUUAACCUAGGAACUGCAUCUGAUACUGGAUGUCUGGAGUGCGGUAGAGGGUAGUGGAAUUUCCGGUGUAGCGGUGAAAUGCGUAGAUAUCGGAAGGAACACCAGUGGCGAAGGCGGCUACCU